rnacentral:snRNA from 1 species
GUGCUCAUUUCAGCAUCAUAUACACUAUAUUUGCAAUGAUUCAGAGAAGAUUAACACGGCUUCUGUACAAAGUUGAAACACCAAUUUAUAAAGUAUUUCAUGAUUCU